rnacentral:rRNA from 1 species
UGGGGAAUAUUGCACAAUGGGCGCAAGCCUGAUGCAGCAACGCCGCGUGAGGGACGACGGCCUUCGGGUUGUAAACCUCUUUUAGUAGGGAAGAAGCGAAAGUGACGGUACCUGCAGAAAAAGCACCGGCUAACUACGUGCCAGCAGCCGCGGUAAUACGUAGGGUGCGAGCGUUGUCCGGAAUUAUUGGGCGUAAAGAGCUCGUAGGCGGUCUGUCGCGUCUGCUGUGAAAACCCGAGGCUCAACCUCGGGCCUGCAGUGGGUACGGGCAGACUAGAGUGCGGUAGGGGAGAAUGGAAUUCCUGGUGUAGCGGUGGAAUGCGCAGAUAUCAGGAGGAACACCGAUGGCGAAGGCAGUUCUCUGGGCCGUAACUGACGCUGAGGAGCGAAAGCGUGGGGAGCGAACAGGAUUAGAUACCCUGGUAGUCCACGCCGUAAACGUUGGGCGCUAGAUGUGGGGACCAUUCCACGGUUUCCGUGUCGCAGCUAACGCAUUAAGCGCCCCGCCUGGGGAGUACGGCCGCAAGGCUAAAACUUAAAUGAAUUGACGGGGUCAUAGCUG